rnacentral:rRNA from 1 species
AACGGAGGCGCUCAAAGGUUCUCUCAGUACGGUCGGAAAUCGUACGUAGAGUGUAAAGGCAAAAGAGAGCUUGAUUGCAAGACAUACAGGGCGAGCAAGGAUGAAAAUCGGACUUAGUGAUCCGGUGGUUCUGCGUGGAAGGGCCAUCGCUCAACGGAUAAAAGCUACCCUGGGGAUAACAGGCUUAUCUCCCCCAAGAGUCCACAUCGACGGGGAGGUUUGGCACCUCGAUGUCGGCUCAUCACAUCCUGGGGCUG